rnacentral:rRNA from 1 species
GAUGAACGCUGGCGGCGUGCCUAAUACAUGCAAGUCGAACGCUUUGUGGUUCAACUGAUUUGAAGAGCUUGCUCAGAUAUGACGAUGGACAUUGCAAAGAGUGGCGAACGGGUGAGUAACACGUGGGAAACCUACCUCUUAGCAGGGGAUAACAUUUGGAAACAGAUGCUAAUACCGUAUAACAAUGACAACCGCAUGGUUGUUAUUUAAAAGAUGGUUCUGCUAUCACUAAGAGAUGGUCCCGCGGUGCAUUAGCUAGUUGGUAAGGUAAUGGCUUACCAAGGCGAUGAUGCAUAGCCGAGUUGAGAGACUGAUCGGCCACAAUGGGACUGAGACACGGCCCAUACUCCUACGGGAGGCAGCAGUAGGGAAUCUUCCACAAUGGGCGAAAGCCUGAUGGAGCAACGCCGCGUGUGUGAUGAAGGGUUUCGGCUCGUAAAACACUGUUGUAAGAGAAGAAUGACAUUGAGAGUAACUGUUCAAUGUGUGACGGUAUCUUACCAGAAAGGAACGGCUAAAUACGUGCCAGCAGCCGCGGUAAUACGUAUGUUCCAAGCGUUAUCCGGAUUUAUUGGGCGUAAAGCGAGCGCAGACGGUUAUUUAAGUCUGAAGUGAAAGCCCUCAGCUCAACUGAGGAAUUGCUUUGGAAACUGGAUGACUUGAGUGCAGUAGAGGAAAGUGGAACUCCAUGUGUAGCGGUGAAAUGCGUAGAUAUAUGGAAGAACACCAGUGGCGAAGGCGGCUUUCUGGACUGUAACUGACGUUGAGGCUCGAAAGUGUGGGUAGCAAACAGGAUUAGAUACCCUGGUAGUCCACACCGUAAACGAUGAGUGCUAGGUGUUUGAGGGUUUCCGCCCUUAAGUGCCGCAGCUAACGCAUUAAGCACUCCGCC